CUGCUGCCUUCCGUAGGAGUUUGGGCCGUGUCUCAGUCCCAAUGUGGCCGGUCACCCUCUCAGGUCGGCUACUGAUCGUCGCCUUGGUGGGCCGUUACCCCACCAACCAGCUAAUCAGACGCGGGUCCAUCUCAUACCACCGGAGUUUUUCACACUUUAUCAUGCGAUCUCGUGCGCUUAUGCGGUAUUAGCAGUCAUUUCUAACUGUUAUCCCCCUGUAUGAGGCAGGUUACCCACGCGUUACUCACCCGUCCG
rnacentral:rRNA from 1 species